UACGGUGAGGUAGUAGGUUGUAUAGUUUAGAAUAUUACUCUCGGUGAACUAUGCAAGUUUCUACCUCACCGAA
rnacentral:pre_miRNA from 14 species